GACGUAGGGCGCGAGCGUUUGUCCGGAUUUAUUGGGCGUAAAGAGCUCGUAGGCGGCUUGUCGCGUCGACUGUGAAAUCCCGCGGCUCAACUGCGGGUCUGCAGUCGAUACGGGCAGGCUAGAGUUCGGUAGGGGAGACUGGAAUUCCUGGUGUAGCGGUGAAAUGACGCAGAUAUCAGGAGGAACACCGGUGGCGAAGGCGGGUCUCUGGGCCGAUACUGACGCUGAGGAGCGAAAGCGUGGGGAGCGAACAGG
rnacentral:rRNA from 1 species